rnacentral:rRNA from 1 species
AUUGAACGCUGGCGGCAGGCUUAACACAUGCAAGUCGAGCGGAGAUGAGGUGCUUGCACCUUAUCUUAGCGGCGGACGGGUGAGUAAUGCUUAGGAAUCUGCCUAUUAGUGGGGGACAACAUUCCGAAAGGAAUGCUAAUACCGCAUACGUCCUACGGGAGAAAGCAGGGGAUCUUCGGACCUUGCGCUAAUAGAUGAGCCUAAGUCGGAUUAGCUAGUUGGUGGGGUAAAGGCCUACCAAGGCGACGAUCUGUAGCGGGUCUGAGAGGAUGAUCCGCCACACUGGGACUGAGACACGGCCCAGACUCCUACGGGGGGCAGCAGUGGGGAAUAUUGGACAAUGGGGGAAACCCUGAUCCAGCCAUGCCGCGUGUGUGAAGAAGGCCUUAUGGUUGUAAAGCACUUUAAGCGAGGAGGAGGCUACUGAGACUAAUACUCUUGGAUAGUGGACGUUACUCGCAGAAUAAGUACCGGCUAACUCUGUGCCAGCCGCCGCCGUAAAAC